GUUUAUUUUUUAAUGUUUUUUUUUUUUUUUUUUUUUUUGAAUUUCC
rnacentral:ribozyme from 13 species